GGGGUGAGCGGCGGACGGGUUAGUAACGCGUGGGAAUAUACCCUUUUCUACGGAAUAGCCUCUGGAAACGGAGAGUAAUACCGUAUGAGCCCUUCGGGGGAAAGAUUUAUCGGGAAAGGAUUAGCCCGCGUUAGAUUAGGUAGUUGGUGGGGUAAUGGCCUACCAAGCCUACGAUCUAUAGCUGGUUUUAGAGGAUGAUCAGCAACACUGGGACUGAGACACGGCCCAGACUCCUACGGGAGGCAGCAGUGGGGAAUCUUGGACAAUGGGGGCAACCCUGAUCCAGCCAUGCCGCGUGAGUGAUGAAGGCCUUAGGGUCGUAAAGCUCUUUCGCCUGUGAAGAUAAUGACGGUAGCAGGUAAAGAAACCCCGGCUAACUCCGUGCCAGCAGCCGCGGUAAUACGGAGGGGGUUAGCGUUGUUCGGAAUUACUGGGCGUAAAGCGCACGUAGGCGGACUGGAAAGUAUGGGGUGAAAUCCCAGGGCUCAACCCUGGAACUGCCUCAUAAACUCCCAGUCUUGAGUUCGAGAGAGGUGAGUGGAAUUCCGAGUGUAGAGGUGAAAUUCGUAGAUAUUCGGAGGAACACCAGUGGCGAAGGCGGCUCACUGGCUCGAUACUGACGCUGAGGUGCGAAAGUGUGGGGAGCAAACAGGAUUAGAUACCCUGGUAGUCC
rnacentral:rRNA from 1 species